rnacentral:rRNA from 1 species
AUUGAACGCUGGCGGAAUGCUUUACACAUGCAAGUCGAACGGCAGCACGGACUUCGGUCUGGUGGCGAGUGGCGAACGGGUGAGUAAUGUAUCGGAACGUGCCCAGUCGUGGGGGAUAACGUAGUGAAAAUUACGCUAAUACCGCAUACGAUCUAUGGAUGAAAGCGGGGGAUCGCAAGACCUCGCGCGAUUGGAGCGGCCGAUAUCAGAUUAGGUAGUUGGUGGGGUAAAGGCCCACCAAGCCAACGAUCUGUAGCUGGUCUGAGAGGACGACGAGCCAGACUGGAACUGCGACACGGUCCAGACUCCUACGAGAGGCAGCAGUGGGGAAUUUUGGAAAAUGGGCGAAAGCCUGAUCCAGCCAUGCCGCGUGCAGGAUGAAGGCCCUCGGGUUGUAAACUGCUUUUGUACAGAACGAAAAGGUUUCUACUAAUACUAGGAGCUCAUGACGGUACUGUAAGAAUAAGCACCGGCUAACUACGUGCCAGCCGCCGCAGUAA